UACGUAGGGUGCAAGCGUUAAUCGGAAUUACUGGGCGUAAAGCUUGCGCAGGCGGUUUUGUAAGUCUGUCGUGAAAGCCCCGGGCUCAACCUGGGAAUUGCGAUGGAGACUGCAAGGCUUGAAUCUGGCAGAGGGGGGUAGAAUUCCACGUGUAGCAGUGAAAUGCGUAGAGAUGUGGAGGAACACCGAUGGCGAAGGCAGCCCCCUGGGUCAAGAUUGACGCUCAUGCACGAAAGCGUGGGGAGCAAACAGG
rnacentral:rRNA from 1 species